rnacentral:rRNA from 1 species
CGCGUAGGCGGUUGAGUAAGUCAAAUGUGAAAUCCCCGGGCUUAACCUGGGAACUGCAUUCGAUACUGCUUAACUAGAGUAUGGUAGAGGGAAGUGGAAUUCCGGGUGUAGCGGUGAAAUGCGUAGAUAUCCGGAGGAACACCAGUGGCGAAGGCGACUUCCUGGGCCAAUACUGACGCUGAGGUGCGAAAGCGUGGGGAGCAAACA